rnacentral:rRNA from 1 species
GCCUAACGCAUGCAAGUCGAGCGGUAGAGAGAAGCUUGCUUCUCUUGAGAGCGGCGGACGGGUGAGUAAUACCUAGGAAUCUGCCUGAUAGUGGGGGAUAACGUUCGGAAACGGACGCUAAUACCGCAUACGUCCUACGGGAGAAAGCAGGGGACCUUCGGGCCUUGCGCUACCAGAUGAGCCUAGGUCGGAUUAGCUAGUUGGUGAGGUAAUGGCUCACCAAGGCUACGAUCCGUAACUGGUCUGAGAGGAUGAUCAGUCACACUGGAACUGAGACACGGUCCAGACUCCUACGGGAGGCAGCAGUGGGGAAUAUUGGACAAUGGGCGAAAGCCUGAUCCAGCCAUGCCGCGUGUGUGAAGAAGGUCUUCGGAUUGUAAAGCACUUUAAGUUGGGAGGAAGGGCAGUUACCUAAUACGUGAUUGUCUUGACGUUACCGACAGAAUAAGCACCGGCUAACUCUGUGCCAGCAGCCGCGGUAAUACAGAGGGUGCAAGCGUUAAUCGGAAUUACUGGGCGUAAAGCGCGCGUAGGUGGUUUGUUAAGUUGAAUGUGAAAUCCCCGGGCUCAACCUGGGAACUGCAUCCAAAACUGGCAAGCUAGAGUAUGGUAGAGGGUAGUGGAAUUUCCUGUGUAGCGGUGAAAUGCGUAGAUAUAGGAAGGAACACCAGUGGCGAAGGCGACUACCUGGACUGAUACUGACACUGAGGUGCGAAA